rnacentral:lncRNA from 1 species
CUGAUUAUGCGCCUGGCACACAGAAAAAGGUGACUGGAGAGGUUAUCAGGUGGAAUGAGGCUACCGGCCUUGAGAAAAUGGAUGCAGUGAAAUACAUAGAAAUGCUUGAAGCAGAAAUUGAGGAACUGAACCGCCAAGUUGCAAGGAGAUCUCCAAAUGGACAGAAUGAACUUUUGGAUUAUUUGAAAUCUUUAGAACCUCAGAAUUUGANNNNNNNNNNNNNNNNNNNNGAGAGAGAGAGAGAAGAGGAGACGUGCAAACCUUGGCCAAAAGGGUUUCUUUGCUCUUUCGUAGAAUUCAGCAUACCAUAUAUAUAUAUUUUUGAAAGCACUUCUUGCCUCUUUAUAAACUCUACCAACCCUCUAAAAAAGUUCCUAGUUUGAGUCAUCUAGGACUCUUACAAAUGCAGAAAGAAAAAUCCUCUUGAAAUCCCACUAACUACCAACCUACUUGACUCUUACUGGGACUCCUAAAAGAUCACGGUGACCAUAAUGCAUACUGUACAUGCUACAGCGAUGUGAACUAUUUAAAACACAUCAAUUAAUAAAAUAUAUAAUUCAGAGACAAAUAAUUUCUUUACCAAAUAAAACAAAAAGACUCUUGGACUAUUUACCUUCUUUGACUAUCUAUGGACCUAAAAGAUGCUCCUGCAUCAUACGCUUCUGCUACUUAGAUCUUGUCCUCGAGAUCUUCAUGAUGUCACUCUGAAACUUGAUUUACCAUUUAAUCUCAAGAUCUGAUGAUGAAGGGCUACUUAGAAUUUUCUUGCAAUCACACUAUUGAUUGGUCAGUUUGAUGGCUAUUCAUUGACAAUCAACAAGCUUUAUAGUAUACAUUUAAUGGUUCAUUGAAUCCAGCCAAGUGAUGCGGAACAGAUCUUCAUUUUGCUUGAUCUCUUUCAUUGCAUUGAAGACUGUGACUUCAUCUCACCUCGAGUGCUCUCCGUGUGCAUUGUUGUUACUUUGAUGUUCUAACUUUCAAAUGCUAGAUGACCCAACGAGUAUAAGGUUCCCAAUUGGUAGAUCUUCAAUUGUAGCUUGUUUACAUGAUGGAACUUCACUCACAUGCCCUUCACGUAAUGUAGCCUUCAACUGGAGGCUCUUCAUGCAACUCAACUUCGCCUUGAGCUAAAAAGAUUGGCUUUGAAACCUGAUGCUUGCAAGCUUGAGAUGAACUAGAACUGCUACAUGAUCUAAUAUCUAGAGAUGGUGCAAUUGCUUUCAAAGGUAUGUUUAUUGACACUAGAUCACUCUUGACAAGUGUCAAAUCAGCAUGCAUUUGCUCGAAAACUUUCUUCUCAUACUUGAUAUAUUGAUAAAAGGCAUCAAUCCUGAAACCUAACUCUUUAUUUGAUAACAUGAUGAAAGGCUAGGAAGAAAAGGAGGGGAUGCAAAUUAAUGCAGGACCAUUUAGGGUUGGCCUGUUCUGUGUGAGAGGAUCAUAGAGAUUGGAUAGUUUAGGGUGUGAAGCAAUUUUAUUGCUCGCUGUCUGAAGUCCUGAGAAUUGGACAGCAAAUAAUAGAACUAAAUUUAUCGGCAAAUGGUAGUGCAAAAAGUUCUGUCUAGGGUUUUUGAGUGAGGAGCUAGUAGGAAAAAGGAAUAGAACGAAUGCAGUUCUUAACUGAAGUAUCUGGUGUAUAUUUUGGACCAGAUUAUAGUAAAUAUUUGUUAGAGAUUUUUCGAGUGCAGCAAAACACCAAGAGAGGAAUCAAUAUUUUUCUUGGAAUAAAUAGAUUGAUAUAUUGAUUAAAUAAAUCAUAAUAUGGAGAUGCAAAAUUUGUUCACAGAACUCUGAUAUAAACUUAAGCAACAUCAACAAUCAAUGAUGAAUAGAACAAAGAAUAAUAAAGUAUAGAUAGAAGAGGAAGAAAAGAAAAUAAUAAGAAAGAUAGGGGAGAAGAAGUACGAGAGAAAGAGAUAGAAGAGGAGACAGCCAAACUUUGGCCAAUAGGGCUUCUUUAUUCUUUCACAGAAUUCAGCAUACCGUAUUUUUUUCAGUAGCCCUUCUGGACUCUUUAUACACUCUACCAGCCUCUAAAAAACUUUGAGUCAUCUAGGGCCUCUUCCAAAUUCAGAAAGAAAGAUUCCCUUGAAAUCCCACCGAGUACCAACCUAUUUGACUCUUGCCAGGACUCCUAAAUGAUCACGGUUACUGUAGCACAAACUCUUCACACAACAGAGCGUGAGUUGUAACUCUUAGUUACUUUCCUACCUAAAACACAUCAUAAAAUACAUAAUCGGACCCAAACAAUUUCCAUAUCAGUGCCAAGUUUUGGUUUAAUGAAAAUGAGAUAUUGGAAGCUCUUUGUUUUUCAAACUAUUCUUUAACUAAUUUAAAUGCACGUGUCAUGGCGCUAAGGUCUCAAAUAGACAAACUUAUGCUAGCGAGUAUGAAAUCAUUAUAUUGUUGAUAAAAAAAAAAAAACGUGUGAAGCCCUAGUGUGCUUUUUUGUCAUUGAAAAUGGAGAUUUUUUGAUCCAUGGAAUUUUAGAUAAAUUGGAAAUUAUACAUAUACUAAUAUUAUACAGUUCCUUCCAGCAGCCUUGGCAUGCUAAUCUGCAUAUUAAAAAGAAAACCCCCUUUAUCAGUACCACAAAAGAUUUAGCCAUAGAGAUGUAGUAUAUCUUUGUUUAAUUUCUGCAAUGUUGUAUUGCUUACCUGUUUGAUGAUGUUUCUAUUUUUGCUGCAUUACAUAAAUAAACAAUUUUCCUUCAUGCUGUUUUUAGUCUCAAUAUUGGAAUUCUUAUAAUAUGCCCCCUUUUUACCAUUGUAGGAUGUACCUGAUUAUGCGCCUGGCACACAGAAAAAGGUGACUGGAGAGGUUAUCAGGUGGAAUGAGGCUACCGGCCUUGAGAAAAUGGAUGCAGUGAAAUACAUAGAAAUGCUUGAAGCAGAAAUUGAGGAACUGAACCGCCAAGUUGCAAGGAGAUCUCCAAAUGGACAGAAUGAACUUUUGGAUUAUUUGAAAUCUUUAGAACCUCAGAAUUUGAA